rnacentral:rRNA from 1 species
AGCUUGCUCCCGGAUGUUAGCGGCGGACGGGUGAGUAACACGUGGGUAACCUGCCUGUAAGACUGGGAUAACUCCGGGAAACCGGAGCUAAUACCGGAUAGUUCCUUGAACCGCAUGGUUCAAGGAUGAAAGACGGUUUCGGCUGUCACUUACAGAUGGACCCGCGGCGCAUUAGCUAGUUGGUGGGGUAAUGGCUCACCAAGGCGACGAUGCGUAGCCGACCUGAGAGGGUGAUCGGCCACACUGGGACUGAGACACGGCCCAGACUCCUACGGGAGGCAGCAGUAGGGAAUCUUCCGCAAUGGACGAAAGUCUGACGGAGCAACGCCGCGUGAGUGAUGAAGGUUUUCGGAUCGUAAAGCUCUGUUGUUAGGGAAGAACAAGUGCGAGAGUAACUGCUCGCACCUUGACGGUACCUAACCAGAAAGCCACGGCUAACUACGUGCCAGCAGCCGCGGUAAUACGUAGGUGGCAAGCGUUGUCCGGAAUUAUUGGGCGUAAAGGGCUCGCAGGCGGUUUCUUAAGUCUGAUGUGAAAGCCCCCGGCUCAACCGGGGAGGGUCAUUGGAAACUGGGAAACUUGAGUGCAGAAGAGGAGAGUGGAAUUCCACGUGUAGCGGUGAAAUGCGUAGAGAUGUGGAGGAACACCAGUGGCGAAGGCGACUCUCUGGUCUGUAACUGACGCUGAGGAGCGAAAGCGUGGGGAGCGAACAGGAUUAGAUACCCUGGUAGUCCACGCCGUAAACGAUGAGUGCUAAGGAUUAGAUACCCUGGUAGUCCACGCCGUAAACGAUGAGUGCUAAGUGUUAGGGGGUUUCCGCCCCUUAGUGCUGCAGCUAACGCAUUAAGCACUCCGCCUGGGGAGUACGGUCGCAAGACUGAAACUCAAAGGAAUUGACGGGGGCCCGCACAAGCGGUGGAGCAUGUGGUUUAAUUCGAAGCAACGCGAAGAACCUUACCAGGUCUUGACAUCCUCUGACAAUCCUAGAGAUAGGACGUCCCCUUCGGGGGCAGAGUGACAGGUGGUGCAUGGUUGUCGUCAGCUCGUGUCGUGAGAUGUUGGGUUAAGUCCCGCAACGAGCGCAACCCUUGAUCUUAGUUGCCAGCAUUCAGUUGGGCACUCUAAGGUGACUGCCGGUGACAAACCGGAGGAAGGUGGGGAUGACGUCAAAUCAUCAUGCCCCUUAUGACCUGGGCUACACACGUGCUACAAUGGACAGAACAAAGGGCAGCGAAACCGCGAGGUUAAGCCAAUCCCA